rnacentral:tRNA from 1 species
GCAUUGAUGGUUCAGUGCUAGACUUCUCACCUUCCACGCAGGAGACCUGGGUUCAAUUCCUAGCCCAUGCA